rnacentral:lncRNA from 13 species
CCUGCACCGAGUUAAAGGACUGCUUCUUUAUUUCCAAAUCUUCCAGCGAUACUUGGAAAAACUACUGGAAAUGUAUUUCAAAGUGGGAUUGUACCAAUCCUUCUGUUCUUUGAAAAACUGAAGACACCAGGAGAAUUGUUCUUUCUUUAUGCAGAGGAGGUGUUGCAUUUUAUAAUGAUGAUAUUGAAAGACAGACAGACAAGAAACGGAUAUCUUUCAAGAGCAUCUGGUCUGAAGAGAUCUGCCCAAGUGCAGUUAAAGUUAAUGAGAAAGAGGAGAGCAGAGAGCAGGGAUCCACAGGGCUGAGACACUGACAGUGCGAGGCGCUCAGGCUGGAGCUCCUGGGCAGCCUGGGCUGGAGGUCACAGUCUGCACAGAACAUGCCAUUCUUAUUGGGAGACCAUGGCUGUGCCACGGCGCAUCACAAGGAUCUGUCUGUUCACAGGAGUCAGAUGUCCCCCAACCCCCAUGGAGUCAAGAGAAGUUUUCCACGUCUCCUUAUCUUUCACAUUUGCUACUAACCUUGGCCUUCAAGAUCCCCUCUCCUGCUUCCUUGGGGAAGCCAUCCCAGGGAGCAGCUGUGUAUGUCCUCCGAGACCAUGACCAUUCUCCCUCGUGAUACAGUGAAAGCACAGCUUUGAGAAGAGGUGAGCCUCCUGAGGUUCUGUGGCCAGGAAAUGGCAGCCUGGGACCUGAGCUGGACAUUUUGCCCCAAGUUAAUGGAUUCCAUCCUGAGCCUUAUGGACUUGAAGAAUUUUCUCUACCUUCCCCACAUAAAAACCACUUGCUCAUUUGUGUUCCAUCUUGUGUGCUUGGGCUGAGAUGUGUGUACACCACCGGUCAUGGGCUGAAGUGUGUCCCUGCCCAAAUUUAGAUGUUGAAGUCCUCACUCUCAGCACCUUAGAAUCUAACUAUGUUUGAAGAAAAACUAUUUUGAGAGAUAAUUAAGCUAAAAUGAAGUCUUCAGGGUGGGCCUUAAUCCAAUAGGACUGGUGUGCUUAUAAUAAGAAAAGGAAAUUUGGACCCAUGGAAAGACAACAGUAGCAUGCACAGACAGAGGGACACCUGUGAGAAGACACCAGGAAAAGGUGGCCAUCUCCAACCAGGGGGAAAAGCCUUGGGAGAAACUAUCCCUGCAGUUGCCUUCAUUUUGGACUUCCAGCCUCUGUAACUGUGAGAAAAUAAAUCUUUGUUGUUGAAGCCA